GGCACUUUGGCGGAGUGGUUAAGUACUUCUCCCCCUUCUCAACUUAUAAAAACUAGUACUAACCUCUUCUACAGCGCGCGGGCCUGCUAAGCCCGUUCCUUCGGGAGCGAGAGUUCGAAUCUCUCAGGUGUCG